CCUACGGGUGGCUGCAGUGGGGAAUAUUGGACAAUGGGGGCAACCCUGAUCCAGCCAUGCCGCGUGUGUGAAGAAGGCCCUCGGGUUGUAAAGCACUUUCAGUGAGGAAGAACGCCUGGUGGUUAAUACCCAUCAGGAAAGACAUCACUCACAGAAGAAGCACCGGCUAACUCCGUGCCAGCAGCCGCGGUAAUACGGAGGGUGCGAGCGUUAAUCGGAAUUACUGGGCGUAAAGCGCGCGUAGGUGGCUUGAUAAGCCGGUUGUGAAAGCCCCGGGCUCAACCUGGGAACGGCAUCCGGAACUGUCAAGCUAGAGUGCAGGAGAGGAAGGUAGAAUUCCCGGUGUAGCGGUGAAAUGCGUAGAGCUCGGGAGGAAUACCAGUGGCGAAGGCGGCCUUCUGGACUGACACUGACACUGAGGUGCGAAAGCGUGGGUAGCAAACAGGAUUAGAUACCCGGGUAGUC
rnacentral:rRNA from 1 species